CGUCUGCCCUCUCCUGUCUCCCCCUGUCUGGUACAUGUACCUCGUCUGCCCUCUCCUGUCUCCCCCUGUCUGGUACAGGUACCUCGUCUGCCCUCUCCUGUCUCCCCCUGUCUGGUACAUGUACCUCCACCACACUCACCCCUCUCUCUCUCUCUCUCUGGCCUGUCUCCCCCUGUCUGGUGCAGGUACCUCCACCACACUCAUCUCUCUCUGUCUCUCUGUCUCUCUCAAAUCCUAUUCUAACCACCUCUCGUAUUCAUGUUACCUGAUGAAAUUGCUGUAUAAUAUGAUCUUGUUGCCUUCUCAUGCACAUUCAGAUAUCAUAAAUCAACACUGCAGAGCUCUCUCUGCCGUGCUUUGAUUGUUUUACUGCUGAUGAUAUCUGGGAAUGUGUAUGUACACCCUGGCCCAUCAGCAGCUAGCCCCAAUUCUGACUUGUGCUCUAUUUGCUUCACUGAUUUAUGCUCUCGUAAAUGUCUGGGUUUUCUGCACGUUAACGUUAGAACCUUAUUACCUAAAAUGGAUCAAUUUAAGGUGUGGGUUCACAGCUCCAAUCCAGAUGUGUUGGUCAUUACUGAGACGUGGUUAAGGAAGAGUGUUUUGAAUACUGAUGUUAAUCUUUCUGUUUAAAACCUUUUUCGGCAAGACGGAUCUUCCAAAGGUGGUGAAGUGGUAAUCUUUACCAAGGAUCACCUUCAGUGCUCGGUUGUCUCCACCAAGUCUGUCCCCAAACAAUUAGAUUUUCUGGUUUUAAGCAUUAAACUUUCAAAUAGUUAUUUGUUGACUGUUGCUGGGUGUUAUCAUCCUCCAUCAGCCCCAGCCUGUACCCUACCUGCCCUAAGCUCUCACCUAGAAAAGGCUACUCUCCUCGAUGUUAUCCUCAAUAACCCUGAUGGGUAUCAGUCUGGUGUUUUCUGUAAUGACCUUAGUGAUUACUGAUUUACAGCCUGUGUUCGUGAUGGCUGAUCAGUGAAACAACCUGUCCUGAUUUUGUCAUAGACGCUUGGUAAAAAAACGUCCUUCCUUCAUGAACUGGCCUCUGUAAAUUGGUAUAGAAUCAGCUUGAUCCCCUCUGUCGAAGACGCUUGGACCUUCUUUUUUGAUAUUUUCAGUGGUGUUCACAAACACCCCCAUGAAGAAAAUGAGAAUUUAAAAACAGGUUCAGCCCCUGGUGCGACCGUGAUCUUGCAGAGUUACUCCACCAGAAGAAUCUCAUUUGGCAAAAGGCUCAGCCAGACAUACUCAGGCUGACUGGCUCUCGUUCAGGCAAAUGAGAAAUAAGUGCACUCAGGCUAUCCGGAAGGUCAAAGGUAGUUACUUUAAGGAGCAGUUCUCUCUCUGUGGGUCUCACCCCAAGAAGUUCUGGAAUAUGGUUAAAGACCUGGAGAAUAAACCCUCCUCCUCACAGCUGCCCAUGUCCCUUUAUGUUGAUGAUGUGGUUGUUACUGACAAGAAGCACAUGGCUGAGCUCUUUAAUCACCACUUCAUUAAGUCAGGAUUCCUAUUUGACUCUGUCAUGGCUCUUUGCCUGUCCAACAUUUCCUCAUCUCCCACCCAUUCUAAUGUGACUAGGCCGAUGCUCCUCUUUUUCCCCUGCCCCGCUACAAAGAUUCUCCCUGCAGGCGGUCACUGAAGGGGUGUCCACAUACUUUUGGCCAUAGUGUUUAUUUCUUCCACCUCCCUGAUAUCUGUCCAUUCCUCUCUUUCACAGUUCUCUCACUACUUUGACUCCACCUACUCCUCCUCCUUUAACCGUGAAGAGAAGAGACCCAUCUACAGCUUGAGGAAGGAGUCCAAGAGUUUCCUGGGCCAGCAGCUGGAGUUAGACCUCCCCCAAGAGGGACUACACCAGUCACACACACACCACACCACACCCCGUCUGGGACUGUGACGCUGCAGGAUGCUAGGGGACAGCAGGAGAACACAGCAGGCAGAGCAGCAUCCUUCUGACCCCUCAAUAAAUACUGAUAAGAGUGGUUCACUUUUAGUAGUGCAUCAGUGAAUGUGGACUACUGUGUGUGUGUGUUUUACUGUAUUUGCAGCCUUUGGAGCCAAAUGUUCUUUUGGAUCAACUCCCCCUGUUCCCUCUCUUACCCCAUCUCCCCUCGUCCCCUCACUCACUCCCACUCUACCCCCCCACACUCUCUCUCUGUGUCUCUCAAAUAGCAUUGUAGUUUUUUUUUGUAAAUUCUUUCAGUGUCAAGUAAAUCUCUUUGUUUUCCUCAUGAUUGGGUUGGGUCUAAUUAUGUUGCUGUGUUGGGGCUCUGUAGGAAGCAAAUCAAAUUUUAUUUGUCACAUACACAUGGUUAGCAGAUGUUAAUGCGAGUGUAGCGAAAUGCUUGUGCUUCUAGUUCCGACAAUGCAGUAAUCCAGCUAACAAUUCCAAAACUACUACCUUAUACACAAGUGUAAAGGGAUGAAGAAUAUGUACACAAAGAUAUAUGAGUGAUGGUACAGAGCGGCAUAGGCAAGAUGCAGUAGAUGGUAUCGAGUACAGUAUAUACAUAUGAGUAUGUAAACAAAGUGGCAUAGUUAAAAGUGGCUAGUGAUACAUGUAUUACAUAAAGAUGCAGUAGAUGAUAUAGAGUACAGUAUAUACAUGAGAUGAAUGAUGUAGGGUAUGUAAACAUAUUAGGUAGCAUUGUUUAAAGUGGCUAGUGAUAUAUUUUACAUAAUUUCCCAUCAAUUCCCAUUAUUAAAGUGGCUGGAGUUGAGUCAGUGUGUUGGCAGCAGCCACUCAAUGUUAGUGGUGGCUGUUUAACAGUCUGAUGGCCUUGAGAUAGAAGCUGUUUUUCAGUCUCUCGUUCCCAGCUUUGAUGCACCUGUACUGACCUCGCCUUCUGGAUGAUAGCGGGGUGAACAGGCAGUGGCUCGGGUGGUUGUUGUCCUUGAUGAUCUUUAUGGCCUUCCUGUGACAUCGGGUGGUGUAGGUGUCCUGGAGGGCAGGUAGUUUGCCCCCGGUGAUGUGUUGUGCAGACCUCACUACCCUCUGGAGAGCCUUAACUCUUUUGCCAGGUCACUUCACCUAUUUUGUGGUCCGAGUUCUAUUUUGCAUUCACAUUGCUAUGUUUGGAAAAAGAUCUUGAUUCCUUUCUAACAUUCACUCAAUGAACUCUGGGUUUUUACAAAGUUCAGGACAAGCCAUUCCAUCAGAAUGUGUUAUCGGACAGCUAGUUACACCUACUUACAUUGUGAAAGCUAAUAGAUUACAUUUUGUUUUAAGAUGAGACAUAAUUGUUAUCAGAAGAUACUAAUAACAUGUAAAUAUUAUUAUUAACAGAAUAAUAACUACAGAUUAAAUAAUGGAGUAAUUGAAGAUUGUAGAGCCAAUGGUGUGUGUUCACAUUGCCCUAAAAAGGGAACCGGUCCAACUGUGAAAAUACCCCUAGACCACAAUAAACCAAAAUACAGC
ensembl:lncRNA